GUCUGGGUGGCUCAGCAGGUUAAGCGUCUGACUUCAGCUCAGGUCAUGAUCUCACGGUUCGUGGGUUUGAGCCCCACGUCGGGCU
rnacentral:tRNA from 1 species